CGCGUAGGCGGCUUUAUAAGUCUGGAGUGAAAGUCCUCUUUUCAAGGGAGGAAUUGCUUUGGAAACUAUAGAGCUUGAGUGCAGGAGAGGUUAUCGGAAUUCCCGGUGUAGCGGUGAAAUGCAUAGAUAUCGGGAGGAACAUCGGUGGCGAAGGCGGGUAACUGGACUGCAACUGGUGCUGAGGCGCGAAAGUGUGGGGAGCAAACA
rnacentral:rRNA from 1 species